rfam:Myotis davidii contig17433, whole genome shotgun sequence.
GGUAGUGCUUGGGUGACGCACCCUGGAAUCAGGGUUCCUCCUCCCUGGUUCCAGGUGCAUCACCCCAAGAACCACA